rnacentral:lncRNA from 1 species
CGACUCAUGCCUUGGGGGUCGACUUAUGGGUCGACUCAUAGGCUGUGCCAAGCCAAAAAAUCUACGUGCCAAUCAGCUCAUUGUGCCAUGAGUCGACUCAUGGGUCGACUCAUAUUUUUCAAACAUGAAUAUCUUUCAAAAUACAAGUCCAAAAAUAAUAAAAUUUUCAUCAAUGGAUCACAAAUCUUUUGUUCUAUCACUUGAUGCUUUCAAAUCAGGGUUUGGUA